AUACGGAGGGGGCAAGCGUUGUUCGGAAUUACUGGGCGUAAAGAGUACGUAGGCGGAUCGUUAAGUUAGAGGUGAAAUCCCAGGGCUCAACCCUGGAACUGCCUUUAAUACUGGCGAUCUAGAGAUCGGGAGAGGUGAGUGGAAUUUCCAGUGUAGAGGUGAAAUUCGUAGAUAUUGGAAAGAACACCAGUGGCGAAGGCGGCUCUCUGGCUCGAUACUGACGCUGAGGUACGAAAGCGUGGGGAGCAAACAGAAUUAGAAACCCUAGUAGUCC
rnacentral:rRNA from 1 species